AACGAACGCUGGCGGCAUGCCUAACACAUGCAAGUCGAACGAGAUCUUCGGGUCUAGUGGCGCACGGGUGCGUAACGCGUGGGAAUCUGCCCUUUGGUUCGGAAUAACGGUUGGAAACGACUGCUAAUACCGGAUGAUGACGAAAGUCCAAAGAUUUAUCGCCAGAGGAUGAGCCCGCGUAGGAUUAGCUAGUUGGUGUGGUAAAGGCGCACCAAGGCGACGAUCCUUAGCUGGUCUGAGAGGAUGAUCAGCCACACUGGGACUGAGACACGGCCCAGACUCCUACGGGAGGCAGCAGUGGGGAAUAUUGGACAAUGGGCGAAAGCCUGAUCCAGCAAUGCCGCGUGAGUGAUGAAGGCCUUAGGGUUAAAGCUCUUUUACCCGGGAUGAUAAUGACAGUACCGGGAGAAUGAGCUCCGGCUAACUCCGUGCCAGCAGCCGCCGCCG
rnacentral:rRNA from 1 species